UCAAGUUACAAAGGGCUCACGGUGGAUACCUUGGCACACAGAGGCGAUGAAGGACGUGGUUACCUGCGAUAAGUCUCGGGGAGCUGGAAACACGCUUUGAUCCGGGAAUUUCCGAAUGGGGCAACCCCUAGAACGGCUAUCUGAAUACAUAGGGUAGCUCGAGCCAACCCAGCGAACUGAAACAUCUUAGUAGCUGGAGGAAAGGAAAGUAAAAACGACUCCCUGAGUAGCGGCGAGCGAACGGGGAAGAGCCUAAACCGAUGGUUUCGACCAUCGGGGUUGUGGGACAGCAACGUGGACCAGGGACAUUAGAAGAAGCGUUUGAAUGGCGCACCAUAGAGGGUGAAAGUCCCGUAUUUGAAAAUGAAACUGGCCUAGCUGUAUCCCGAGUAGCACGGAGCACGUGAAAUUCCGUGUGAAUCCGCGAGGACCACCUCGUAAGGCUAAGUACUCCUGUGUGACCGAUAGCGAAACAGUACCGCGAGGGAAAGGUGAAAAGAACCCCGGGAGGGGAGUGAAAUAGAACAUGAAACCGUGAGCUUACAAGCAAUGGGAGUCCGACUAAUCGGAUGACCGUGUGCCUGUUGAAGAAUGAGCCGGCGACUUAUAGGCACUGGCAGGUUAAACCGGGAAUGGUGGAGCCAUAGCGAAAGCGAGUCUGAAUAGGGCGAUCGUCAGUGUUUAUAGACCCGAACCCGGGUGAUCUAACCAUGGCCAGGAUGAAGCUUGGGUGAUACCAAGUGGAGGUCCGAACCGACUGAUGUUGAAAAAUCAGCGGAUGAGCUGUGGUUAGGGGUGAAAUGCCAAUCGAACCCGGAGCUAGCUGGUUCUCCCCGAAAUACGUUGAGGCGUAGCGUCUAGUGCUCCAGCAGGGGGGUAAAGCCACUGUUUCGGUGCGGGCUGCGAGAGCGGUACCAAAUCGAUGCAAACUCUGAAUACCCUGUGUGUAACUAGGCAGUCAGACUGUGGGGGAUAAGCUCCAUGGUCGAAAGGGAAACAGCCCAGACCGCCAGCUAAGGUCCCCAAAUCAAUGCUGAGUGAUAAAGGAGGUGGGAUUGCCCAGACAACCAGGAGGUUUGCCUAGAAGCAGCCAUCCUCAAAGGAGUGCGUAAUAGCUCACUGGUCGAGCGAUCCUGCGCCGAAAAUGAACGGGGCUAAGCAUUGUACCGAAGCUGCGGAUUAAACUUGUUUAAUGGUAGGGGAGCGUUCCAUGUGGGGUGAAGCGUUAGCGUAAGCGGGCGUGGACUGCAUAGAAGUGAGAAUGUCGGCUUGAGUAGCGAAAACAUGGGUGAGAAUCCCAUGCCCCGAAACCCUAAGGGUUCCUCCGGUAGGCUCGUCCUCGGAGGGUUAGUCAGGACCUAAGGCGAGGCCGAAAGGCGUAGUCGAUGGACAACAGGUCAACAUUCCUGUACCGAUCAUGUUUUGGGAAGGGGGACGGAGAAGGCUAGUUCAGCCGGAUGUUGGUUACCGGUUCAAGCGUUCGAGGCGUUGAGGAGUGGUGAAAACACUCUGAGCUAAGGCGUGAGUACGAGCUCCCACGGGAGCGAAGUGAAUGACGUCAUGCUUCCAAGAAAAGCCCUAUACCCGUUAAGGCAUGGUUGCCUGUACCCGAAACCGACACAGGUAGGGUGGUAGAGAAUACCGAGGGGCGCGAGGUAACUCUCUCUAAGGAACUCGGCAAAAUGGCCCCGUAACUUCGGGAUAAGGGGUGCCACCGCAAGGUGGUCGCAGUGAAGAGGCCCAGGCGACUGUUUACCAAAAACACAGGUCUCCGCUAAGUCGUAAGACGAUGUAUGGGGGCUGACGCCUGCCCAGUGCCGGAAGGUUAAGGAAGCUGGUCAGCGUAAGUGAAGCUAGCGACUGAAGCCCCGGUGAACGGCGGCCGUAACUAUAACGGUCCUAAGGUAGCGAAAUUCCUUGUCGGGUAAGUUCCGAC
rnacentral:rRNA from 1 species